AGCGGCGGAUGGGUGAGUAACACGUGGGGAACCUGCCCCUAAGUCUGGGAUACCAUUUGGAAACAGGUGCUAAUACCGGAUAAUAAAGCAGAUCGCAUGAUCAGCUUUUGAAAGGCGGCGUAAGCUGUCGCUAAGGGAUGGCCCCGCGGUGCAUUAGCUAGUUGGUAAGGUAACGGCUUACCAAGGCGACGAUGCAUAGCCGAGUUGAGAGACUGAUCGGCCACAUUGGGACUGAGACACGGCCCAAACUCCUACGGGAGGCAGCAGUAGGGAAUCUUCCACAAUGGACGCAAGUCUGAUGGAGCAACGCCGCGUGAGUGAAGAAGGUUUUCGGAUCGUAAAGCUCUGUUGUUGGUGAAGAAGGAUAGAGGUAGUAACCGGCCUUUAUUUGACGGUAAUCAACCAGAAAGUCACGGCUAACUACGUGCCAGCAGCCGCGGUAAUACGUAGGUGGCAAGCGUUGUCCGGAUUUAUUGGGCGUAAAGCGAGCGCAGGCGGAAAAAUAAGUCUAAUGUGAAAGCCCUCGGCUUAACCGAGGAACUGCAUCGGAAACUGUUUUUCUUGAGUGCAGAAGAGGAGAGUGGAACUCCAUGUGUAGCGGUGGAAUGCGUAGAUAUAUGGAAGAACACCAGUGGCGAAAGGCGGCUCUCUGGUCUGCAACUGACGCUGAGGCUCGAAAGCAUGGGUAGCGAACAGGAUUAGAUACCCUGGUAGUCCAUGCCGUAAACGAUGAGUGCUAAGUGU
rnacentral:rRNA from 1 species